rnacentral:rRNA from 1 species
CCCUUAGAUGUCCUGGGCCGCACGCGCGUUACACUGAUGCAUUCAACGAGCUUAUAACCUUGGCCGAGAAGCCUGGGCAAUCUUGUUAGCGUGCAUCGUGAUAGGGAUAGAUUAUUGAAAUUAUUAAUCUUGAACGAGGAAUUCCUAGUAAACGCAGAUCAUCAAUCUGCAUUGAUUACGUCCCUGCCCUUUGUACACACCGCCCGUCGCACCUACCGAUUGGAUGGUCCGGUGAAGCCUCGGGAUUGUGGUUCUUGCCGCUUUAUUGUGGCGUGACCGCGAGAACUUGUCUAAACCUUAUCAUCUAGAGGAAGGUGAAGUCGUAACA